GGUUAAGAUUGGCCCCCCCUGAGAUUCAGGGGCUCAGAGGUGACUGGGUGCCAGGGCAGUGUUCCCUGGAGAGACAAUCACCACUCGUCUUGUUUGCUUCUGCUGAAAAAUCAUAUAUACACAGCACCGGAAGGUGCCGGCAGUUUUUCUAUUGGUGUCUGCUGCGUGUAGGUGUAGAAGGCCAGGGGGUGGCUGGGCUCCUUCUUCCCCCCCGGAGGGGGGAGAGGGGAGCCCUGCGGCCCCCCCAACUCUGCCUAGGCCAGAGUUAGAGACAGCAUUGGAGUGAGUGUAUGUUUGUGAGGGACACGACUCACAAACAACUGGUAAGCGAGAGAGAGAGAGAGGCAGGCCUUGCAGCCAGGCCCUCUUCUUCUUUCCCCCCCACUUUGCAGCCAGGCUGCAGAAGGGGGCUGUUUUUCCUCUCACUGUUUAGUGGGAGUGGUGCAAGGCUCAGCAUUGAAGCUGAACCAAGAGACGGGGCCGGAGGAAGAGGCUCGGUUGCCAGGAGAAACAGUUGUGAUUCGUUGCAACAGGUGGAAAAACUUCAGGCAGGAAUUGGAGACGGGCCAAAGGGCUCGGGAGUUGCCCUGCCAAGGUAUGACCGGGGGGAGCCGAAAACUGACUUGGAGGAUGCAUACAUUGAUAAGCUACACUACAGCAGCCUAGAGAACUGAGGUAUGAGACCAAGAGGGAGAGAUCACACAGCAGAAAUGACAGAGGACCAAGGAGAAAGGACUCAGAGCUACCUUCCUGGACUUCUGAGGAAGGAAGGACUUCCACAAACAGCUGAAGGUACUGGAAGACCACAAUUAGGCGACCCUGAAGCCUUCUCUUUUCCAGGCUGAACAAUUCCAGUUCUCUCAGCCUUUCCUCACAUGAGAGGUGCUUCAUCCCUCUGAUCAUCUUGGCGGCCUCCUCUGGACUCUCUCCAACAGAUCCAUGUCCUUCCUGUGCUGGGACCCCAGACCUGGAUGCAGCACUGCAGGGAGUGAAGAAGAGAUGCAAAAGAGUAAAGGGCCAAACCAGGAAUAAGGAGGAGUGGCAGAGCAUUAGCAUGGAUAAGGAGGCAGUUCUUGUGAACAGAAAAAAUCUGCCCAAAGCUCAAGGAGGGGGCCCAGUCCUACUGGCGUCUGAUGUGUUCUUUCUUAGAAGAAGAAAGAACAGAAGAAAACAUCCACAGAAAAAUACUGACAUAGAAACUGCCCCCCAGCUUUGGAGCUGAGAGCCUGGGAACUAGGCUUUGGAAUAAGAAACAUCCUUGAAAAGUACAGCUGGCCUCUUCAAAGUACAGCUGUCAAACCUAGAAAGCAGUGAUAUCCUGAGCUACCAAGAAUAAGUGCAGAAUCAGGAAACAUUUUCAGCAAUUUAUAAUGUGGAAAAGUGGAAACAGUCUGGAAAAAAAUAAAACAGGUCUGAAAGAACAGAAAACUUCAUCGUCAUUGACUGUUACAGAUGUAAAACAGAAAUUAACAGCACGUAUUGGCAGUUUGAAGCCGUGGUGCCUUAGGACCUCUUAUCUCCAAGAUAUAAAAUUUUUAUAAAAAAUGGAGCAUGUUUAUCUGAAAACUUCUCAUGCUACAUGUACUCUUCCUAAGAGGAUUGGAUCCCACUCAGACAUUCUAAGAGACAAUGGAAUCCCUAUACCUGACUGGCACCUGACUCCUUGACAAAAUAAUUUUUGAUGUGAGACUCUGCCUGUUACCUUAUUAGUCCCCUAUUUUUUGUAGGCUUGUCUUCCCACCUCUAGGCUGGUUAGAUCCCUCUCUGGGAACAGAUCAUCUUCCCCUUUGUUAUGGUUUAACUUCUUCUGAAAUCUGAAUAAUUGCCUUUAUAUUUUUAUUAUAUACAUCCAUAUAAGCAUCUUAUUGUAAGUAUAUCUGGAGUCACACUGUUGAUAAGUUUGCUUAUCAAUGAUGCACUUGUAGUAACAUGUAAUAGUAUAUACCUAGUUGGUUGUUGCUGUUAUGUUGAUCGUUGCUGUAUCUACUGUUGCUGUACUACUGAUUGGUGCUGUAUUUAAUUGUUGAUAGCAAUUUAUAAUAGCACUAUAUAUAUAUAAUAUGUGUAUUUAUAAUAGCAUUAUAUAUGUGUGUGUGUGUAUACACUUUAUAUUAAUCACAUAUAUACCUGCUAGUGCUGAUUUUUGUGGUAGUUUACAUAGUAGGGGUAUUUUUUGUAGUAUUUAUGGUAAACUGU